rnacentral:rRNA from 1 species
UACGUAGGGCGCAAGCGUUGUCCGGAAUCAUUGGGCGUAAAGCGCGCGUAGGCGGCCCUGUAAGUCCGUUGUGAAAGUCAAAGGCUCAACCUUUGAAAGCCGAUGGAUACUGCAGGGCUAGAGUCCGGAAGAGGCGAGUGGAAUUCCUGGUGUAGCGGUGGAAUGCGCAGAUAUCAGGAGGAACACCAAUAGCGAAGGCAGCUCGCUGGGACGGUACUGACGCUAAGGCGCGAAAGCGUGGGGAGCAAACAGG